UGUAACUGAUAUUUAAGGUACAUAUUUCGUUUCGAAAUAGAAGCCUUGUACAAUAAAAGACACGUAAAGUGCCCAGGGAACAGUAAAUAAUAACUUUUUGAACUCAUACUUAGAGUAUAAGUUGGUUUACAAAUCGUCUAAAGACAAUCAGCUUUCUCAGAAAGAAGCGAAGUCACAUUAAGCUAGAAGAAAACCAAUAGCAGAUGAUUCCGAACCUUAUGAAACACGCCAAUAUAGAUUCAAAGUCCAAUUGAAACCACACCAGAAAUCUGCCCUUGGUUCUCAUUUCAAUAAGUCAUACUUUAUCAGCCUCAUAUCAUCUAUGGCGUAAAAGUUCGCGUGUGACAUUGAUGAUAAUUUCGGCAUCGCGACAAUGAAAAAAUCUAGUAAAUUCAGACAAAACACCAAAACGCACGAAAAACACAUCCACACCAUACUCCAGCGAAGCGAAGGUUGAGUACUGAUGUAAUGAGAGCCAAAUCGAAUACGGAAACUAAGGUGAGUUUGGUUAUCUCUUCAUUGUAUUGUGCUGAAUUUCGAGGUCCCAUCUGGGCAAAAUCGCGCUUAUUAUAAUACAUUGUUCCUAGAGGUCGGAUACUAUAUGAUAACGAUUUCGAUCAAUGUUAAACAUUAAUGCUGAAAUGUACGUACAGUUUGGAAGUAACAAGGUCGGACGGCUUGUUUCCGUAUUUCGUCAUUUGAAAUGUAUAGUAGUGCCAAAUGUAAUUUUACACAGUCUUCACUUCCAGCUGGAUAAGCAUGUAGAAUGUCUUCUGCGUGAUUCUUCUUCUUCGUUAUAUGGCUUUACCCACAGAAUACCAAGCUUUGCCUACUUUAUAGACUCGAUAGUUAUGGAUCCACUAGCUUCGGCGUUUAGACACGUUGAGAAACCCACCAUAAGUUAUAGAACCUACAACUGUAGCGGACCGAUAGUUAUCGAACCAAUAAGGGAAUCUACCAGAAACCGGGCAUUAUACAGACGAACUUAUAGUCCCUUUUGUGAAAUGAGCUGUUUUUCAUAUAAUAUUUUCCUGUUAGUUGAUAUCUUUGUUGAUUUUAGCAUAAAAUAUAACGUUAAUUAGAAAAACGUUAUUUGCAAGUACGACCAAAUACAAUGUUGCCCAAUUUAUGAGUAA